ACAGCGCCGCCGGCCGUGGGGAGCGGACGCGGUGGUGUGCGCCCCUGCCCUCAGCAACCCCCACACCCAGCACCAGGUGGGUGCGAGCGGGGAACCCGGUCCUACAGGGCGGGGGGAGAGCCGUGGUGAACGGGGGUGACGGGGGAAAGUGGGGUCCUGGCGGCCACACCCUGCCCUUCCGGGGGAGCGGCGGGGGCGACUCGGACCGAAGGGGCCUGGGCUGGCUGGGGCAGCGGGUCAGGAGGACCACGGCGAGCGUUUCGGGCCGGAGUCGUGGUGGGAGGUCUUCCUCUGGGCGGAAGAUGGGGUGUCGCCGGGGGGCCGCUGACCCCGGCGCCCUCGCGUCUGAAGGGGAUACGGGAGCCGGUCAUCCGACCUGGGAAGGAUCGGGACGGAGCCGACCGCGGCGGAGGAGGAGGAACGGGGCCUCCCUGGGACAGGACUCGGUUCCGCGUCCUGGCAGGGAAGGGGUCUCUGGGCGGGCCGGCCCCUCCUCUCGGCCCCUCCGGGGGAUGUUAUGUAAGGGGGGAGGGGAGAGGAGUAGGGGGCGGCGGUGCGGGGGGCCUUAUGCAACCCGGAGGUUAGGGUUUCACCGCGGUUGGGCGGGGAGGAAGGGAAGCGGGCAGGAGGAGGGCCUGGAAACUCUAACCGCCCCCCCCCCCUUCUGCUCAGCCUAAACUGGCUGUCUUGGGCGGAGAGAAGGUCACCUCCCCAGCCUGUCCGGCAGUGAGGCCCCUCGCCCAGGCCUGGCCCUGACCGCCUGGGAAGCCGGCUGGCUGGGUGGGGCGCCCCGGUUAGUCAUCGCUGGGCUCCCUCCCGGCCAACUCCUGGCCCCUCCCCAUGGCCUCCGGCGAGGCUAUCCCCCCCCACCUCCCUCUGGCCCCAGUUCCAACCUCCAACUCUUUUGGCCUGUCAUGCUGGCUGUCAGACUGGCCUAGGAUCUGUCAGGGUGCCAGGGGGUUGAUGGAGCAGCUGGUGAGAGGGGUCAGUGGCCUGGGCCCACCCCGCCCUGCAGCCAAGGGCACCUGCUUGGCACAAGAUGCCCAACAGCCAUGGAGUCCUGCAGGCUGAACCUCGCUGUCCAGACUGAGGGCACUUGGGCAGAGUUCGACUGGUCAGCCAGGGGAAGGAAGAUAUCACAAAGUUUAGGCUUCCCAAGAGGCUUUGGAAUUUGUGCCCCACCAAGCCUCCCAGACACACACACACCCUAAUGGUUCUUACCCUCUGAGUGUACCAAGCCGGAGGCAGACCCUCCUGGGCCCUCUGAGUCUGGCCUGGGCCGUGCCCUUGGAAAGUGUCAGCGCCCAGCCCUCGAUCCUGCCACGCCCCCAGCCCCCUCCCUGGACCAUGCUGCAGGGCCCCGGCUUUUCCUGCUGAUUCAUGCGUUGGAACUGUGGGGGCGGGGCUUGGGACUUGGAACAAAGUUCAGACACGGAGGGGCCGGCAGACAGCCUGGAAUUCAUACCAGAUGUACCCGGAAUGUGCGAGCGGAAUGCCUGGCAUCCCAGAGUCCAGAGGAAGCUGCCCAACCACCCUACCCGGGCCUCCCUCCCUCCCUCCCUCCCUCCCUCCCUCCCCGCCAUCCUCUGCCCAGCCAUCCUCUGCCUCACAGCCCAGGACCCUUCCUUGGCUGAGCUGCUCCCAAAUUCUGACCUUCCUCCUUUCAUGCUUCCCAGGGGCUAGGCCCACCCCACCCCCAUCCUCAGCUGACUGCAUCCUGCUGAAUUCCCUGGAAACAGCUCAGCUCAGCUGAUCCUUGCACUCACCUUUCUGGAAGACCUGAGGAGCCGGUACCUCUCCUGCCCACCUGGCUGAGCCGCAGUAGUUCUUCAGUGGCAAGCUUUAUGUCCUGACCCAGCUAAAGCUGCCAGUUGAAGAACUGUUGCCCUCUGCCCCUGGCUUCAAGGAGGAAGAGGAGGAACAGCAGCUGCUUUCCCUGUCUUCUGGAAGGCUGUCGCUGUACCCGCAGAUGACCACCGACCCGAUUCAUGGGCACCCACCCUGGGCGCUGCUGCUCGUGGCUGUGUCUGUGGGUUAUUUCUUGGCGGAUGGAGCCGACAUGCUGUGGAACCAGACUUUGGCCCAGGCCUGGGAUCUUCUCUGUCACCAUUUGGUGGUGAGACACUGCAAGCCCACUGGCCCCGGGGUCCCAGGCUCUCUCCAGCUUUCUGUCCUCCAGCUUCCUAGCUGGCAGCUGAUCCUCCCAGGCUUAGGCUAGCUUGUGGGGGAAGGGACAGUCUGCUGGACCAGCUGAGGGGCGUCUGGGUGCUGCCUGAGGAGGUUGGAUCCCUGCACCUCUCCUAAGGAUCACAGGCUGUUGAAUGCAGAGCUUUCUUGGGAAGAGGGAGCCCCAGUGUGGGGUGGGACUGCAAGCUGGGAAUGGAGGGUGGACGCUGGGCCACCCCAGC